UUCUGAUCUAGAUAGACUUAGACUAUGAGUCUAGUCACCAAAUCUAAAUCAUGUAGAUAUCUUGACUAGAUCUAGAGUCUAGAAUUAUCUUAUUACUUAUUAUAGUUCUAGAUCUAGUACUUCUAGAUUACUAUGUUAAGAUCGUAUCUCAGUAUCUGAGUCUUGAAACCUUUAAUUAUGGAAAAGGUGGACCAGAUCUUAAAAGUGUAUCAAGACAUGCUCAAUCUCGGCUACCAAGAAUAGAUUUAAUUUACAUAUGAUGCGAUGAUGAGAAACAGAUAGAUUAAUAUUAACAGAUCAAGAUCAACCAUCAUAAAAUUCUUAAGUAUAAAGGAACUCAUCACUUUAAGACCUGAGAUAACUGAUCACUCCAAACCUACGGUGGAAGGGGUUAGAGAAACCAUAGGCCACUAUAUUGCAAGCAACAUCAUACAGUCUCAAAAAAACAAGGAAGGAGUAAGAAAACUCUUAGUGUUUCCAGAUCAGCACACAGGUACAUCCAGAUCAACCAUCAGUACUGCAAGAUCAUCUGUCAAGUACUGCAAGACUGCAAAUCAACUGUCAAGUACUGCCAGAUCAACUUGCAAGUACUGUCAGACCAAGAAAAAAAAACCCAAUGUAUUUCAAAAUAAUGUUCAUUUUAAACACCACGGUAACACUUUUAUUUUUUAAAUGUAAUUAGAUCUGUAAAAGUAGUGUCAGUUCCACUAGUGAUUUCAUCAGGAGAAAAUGUCUCUCCAGAUUAGGGCUUUAUAGCCACAAUUGUACAAUGAGAUGAGUAGUUAGGCAAUUAGACAUCCACAGUAUGAUUGUUAUAAUAGAUUCCUUCUACAACACUUGUACGUUAUGUCCGUUAUUGCUUCUGAUGCAAUGCAUAUUCAGUUAUAAAUACUUCUGUUGUAAAACAUACAUAUUAAACAUAAAUAAACAGCAGCACCAGGGACCAAGUUUUUAAAAGAGAACAUUGAUUUAACAAUCAAGAAACAAUAUAUUUCAUCUAUACAAAAAUAUUUAUAUACUUAUAUGAAAAUCAAAAUGAGAGAAGUUUCUGAAGUUAACUAUUUCAUCACUAUACAGAGAUGUCUAACAAUAACUGUCCCAUCCCUAACAAAAAGAACAUAACUCCCCAUUUUUAACAUAUUCUUAAAAAGAAUAAACUAAUGAAGCAAAUUAAUUAAAAAUGUUGACAGAUUACAUAAUAUAUGAAUAGAUGAAGUUUAAUAACAAGCAAAAUAUUAUAAAACAAAAGUACAAAGAAAUAUUUUUUCCUGGAGUACUUGUCAUUAGAAUGACUUGGAAUUGUCAAUGUGUCAUGGAAUUUUGCAAAAUAUUGGAGCUUCUUAUUUGGCAGAGGUUACAUCCAUAAAUGGUUUAAUGAGCUCUGUUCUUUUUCCUAAACUGUUUGUUCUUUAUACAGCAUAGGCAGGCAUAUUUGUUCCUCAGCAUUUUAAUGAGCGUAUGUACAAAGUCACUCAUGCUGAAUCCUUGAGUUGAUUGUUAGGAUUGUUUUUGUAUCACAAUUUUAGCAUAAUCAAAUAUUCUAUUUGCUGAAUAAGUCAUGGUACAAGCAUCUACUAGCCUAUUAAAACAUCAAAUAAUGUAGCAUCUCUUGUCAAAUCUUACUCAAAAUUGACUCCUCUCUCUUAGAAGUCUAGGACAUUCUUAAUGUAUUGGAAGUAAAUGUUUGACAAAAUCUUAAAAUAUUUUAAAGUAUUAUUACUUUGUUAAUUAUUAUUGGUUCAAAUUUUAUUUAAUUUUUCAAUUACUAUAUUUUCAACUUCAUUUUUCUAUUUUCAUGAAAACUAUUAUUAGACAUAUUGAAAAUGUUUGCUUUCUGUUGCCUUAGUAUCAACAUACUACAUGAUGUAAAAAGUUUGGGAUUCUUAUGGGCAACAGGCAUCUAAAAAACUCACUUCGAAAUAAAGAUGUUUAACAUUU